GACAGAGGCCUCAAGCGUUAGGCGGAAUCACUGGGCUUAAAGCGUGUGUAGGCGGAUGCCUAAGUACCUUGUGAAAUCCCACGGCUCAACCGUGGAACUGCUGGGUAUACUGGGUGUCUUGGGCCAUUCAGGGGCGACUGGAACAAGCGGUGGAGCGGUGAAAUGCGUAGAUAUCGCUUGGAACGCCGAAGGUGAAAACAGGUCGCUGGGGAUGUGCCGACGCUGAGACACGAAAGCCAGGGGAGCGAACGGG
rnacentral:rRNA from 1 species